rnacentral:rRNA from 2 species
CAAACACUUUCAGCAAUGGAUGUCUUGGCUCCCACACCGAUGAAGAACGCAGUGAAAUGCGAUACGUCAUGCGAAUUGCACAAUCAGUGAGUCAUCAAAACUUUGAACGCAUCUUGCACUUC